GAUAGGUCUCUGUCGCUACUGUGAUUGGACACUGACAGAGAGUCAACUAGCCUUGGUCGCGCGGUUCUUGCGCGCGGAACCGGGGGACGGUCCGAGCCACGAGGGGGGAGGCUCGGACCGUCCGUG
rfam:Streptomyces afghaniensis 772 genomic scaffold STAFG_scaffold1357, whole genome shotgun sequence.